rnacentral:lncRNA from 1 species
UUUUUUUUAAUAAAUGACGAUUAAGACUUUGACAAAUUGAGUACUUUCAAAUCGUUGUAUGAAAAAAAAAAUAACUGAAAGGGUUAUUGAGUUUAGAUUAAUUGCUUUUGAAUUUCUUUCCACAAUGAUAUGCUUAAAUAGAGAAAGAUAAACCGAGGAAGAAUUAGAUGUUAUAUUUUAAAUUUUAAAUGUUUAAUAAACAGAAAAUACUUUUCUCUUUCCAAUCUUUUACUCCCCCUCCCCCAAAUUUCUUUGUAUCUACUGACACGUCCAUCUAAAUGAAGUCUGAUUGAUCUCUAGCUAAUCUCCCUGUUUUAAAACAAACUUAAAUAUGACCCCCUUUAAAUUCGAUUCAAAAAUAUGGGGAAUAGAUAUUCAAGAAGUCGUUAUAAAUUCCAUUGAAUCUAAAACUAGUCCAAAUCAGAUUUCUUUUAUUCGGAUAUUCUUAGAUACAUUUCUUUUUUGGCGGAAGUUACCAAAAAUUGUUUUAACUUUCUUUCUGACUUUAAAACACUGAUUUAAGAUUUAUGUUGUACGCAAAAUAUAAUACUGAAACAUUUUAUGUUCAAGCUAAGAUGAAAAAAAGGAAUGAGAAACCUUUCUUUUUUCCUAUUCUGAAACUACGAUGUUUGUACAAAGUUCAGUUUUGUCGUAAUUUCAAGGCAGAUGGCGGAUUCGGGGGUGGGGACGAACAUGUCGUUCACCCUAGGAUUGGACAAAUUAUCGUGUUUUGCCUUAAAAUCGUCAAUAUUGUUUUUAGUCUCGCUACGCUCGGUAUAUUUUUUUUAAUUUGAUAGAAUAACGCCCCUUUUAAAAUCUAGGAACCGCCCCUAAAGGUAAAAAUAGAUUUGAACUGUGCAGUAUAUCUGAGGUAGUUAAUGCACACCUUUGCUGUGCAUUAUCCAGAUUAUAGCACAGUAAGAACAAAGAGAUUUUACCCAUACCAUGUGUUAA